GGACUGGAAACAAAACAAAAAUAGAAAAAAAAAAAAAAUUCUCCCCAGUGUCGACAGUGUCUUGGAUUGGAUCUCGAAUGAAUUUAUGAUGCUAACUGCAAAUUCUAACCUGUUAGGCAUUGCAAAUAAGAGAUAAAAGCUGUGCCCACUAGAGGGAGCCACAGGAUAAGAAAUCUUUCAAGCCUGAUGUUUUUCUGUUGAUCAAGUUUAAACACGCACACAAAUGAACUGGUGUGGCUGUAACAAUUAUGGUAACACUGAGCCAAAAGACUCAAAAAAGAGGUUGAAAUCAGAUCUGCUUCUGCCUGGCCCAGAUUGAUUGAUGUAAACCGGGUUAACCCAUGCUACCAGUAAAGAGAAAAAAAGUUAAGAAAAAGAAAGAAAAUUAUAGAAGGAAAAGAGAUUCAUCCAAUCACUGAUCGAGCUGCAGUGAGAGACACCCCUAAGAGCCAAUAGUAGCGGCGCAUUCAUAAGUCCCGCCCACUGGUCGCGCCGGCGCUGCUUUCAGCGUGAGCAGAUGAGAGAGAGAGAGAGAGAGAGAGAGAGAGAGAGAGAGAGAGAGUCAGAGCAGAUCAGCACAGAGCAGACAGUUUCUCCAGAAAAUCCACUCAUCUAACUGGAGAUGUGAUUGAGUGCACUGAAAGCGGAGCUUUUGAAGUCGAUGCGUCAGCCUGAAGAGAGAGACGGAGCGGAUCCCAGAGUGCAUCAGCGCUACCCAAAGAAAAAGGACAGUGAUUCCCAAACCACAGAGAAAUGAAUGACUGUUGAGGAGUAUCAAGACACAACCUUGACAGAGACUCAGAAGAGGCUGGAAAAAAUGGAGGAGAACGAAAAAUUGAGAAAUGAUGACAAAAAAAGCUACCAAAUCUGAUAAAUGAAGUGAAGAUGGCCCUGAAGUCUCAGUGUUCGUCAGCAUCAGUCACAUGCCACAGAGUAAUUACAGAGCCCUUCCAACAGAACAGGUAGGUCUAACAGUAGUGAUCAGGUAAGAAACUGAAUAUAUCAGACGGGUAAUAGCCUGCUCUCUCAGACGAUCUCUCUCUCUCUCUCUCUCUCAAUGAAGCGACUCUACGUUCCUUCGUUACUAGUUCUGAAGUGACGUUUUACAAUUAGUAACGGAGGCUUGGUCCAACUGUCAGCUUGAGAUUUGAAUUCGUGGCAGGAAGG